rfam:Exophiala sideris strain CBS 121828 unplaced genomic scaffold supercont1.4, whole genome shotgun sequence.
GGAUUGUUAGCUCAAGGGUUAUAGCGACAGGGGAGAAUGGAUCGGUAUGAUCGAUCCAGGUUGGAUAUGUAUCAUACAAUCCCCGACCUGCAGGCUGUAGGUUCGAGUCCUACACAAUCCA